UGAAUGUGAUCAGGAUGUUCCUCUUAAAAGAGAGCAUUGCUCCUAAAGAGGAAGGAAAGAAAGAUGAAGAAUGAUGAACAAAAACAGAUUAUUUGAUAAGAAUUCUGUCCCUCCCCCUAUACCUGCUGUUGCUUCAUAUCUGAUGUGUCAAAUUCUGUUUCUCACACUGUGUUUUGGACUUUACCUGGCAGACGAGUGCAGACAAGUAAUAACAGAUACAGCAACAACAGGUGAUACAGCUUUGCAGUACUUCCUGAGUACCUGAGGUCACAUACUGACGCUGUGGAAGAAGGAGGCAGUCCUCCUGUCUACACAUCUCUCUCUCACCUCCUCGCUGCUCGGUCCUUUACCCACCCGACUUUAUCAAAUCAAGAUGAAAACGUUAUUUUUGUUGCUUCUCUUCUGUCACGUUUCAUCAGCAGGUAAGAUCACAUUUGAACUCUUUAAGCUCUUUGCUUCACUUUCCACUCGGCUCUGCAUUUGACUGCGAUAACGUGAGCCGCAGAGUGCAUUUGGCUCCUGUAGCUCCAGAAAACAGCACUUUAGUUUCACUUUUACUUAAACUUUAUAAGACUGACUUUAUAUGUUUUAAUAGAAUCAUAGACUGCUGACUGAAUACAUCAGAUUCAUGAUGGGUCUUUACUGAAUGUAUAAAAUUGAGCAUAGCGUUAGUUCAGGCAGGGCACGAAGUUAGGCUUAGCUUUCAGUUACAGCUAUAUCAUUCGAGCACAGCUAGUCAUAAACAUACAUCAGCUGAUUCCUCUAAGCUUCCCAUUGGAUACCAUACACAGUCAGCUGACAGCUUACCUGAUUUCCUCAAGCAUCCAAUUGGCAAACAUCUACAUGGCGCCUUAUUACUGAAGCUGCUUUAGCCUGCCUGCCUAUCUCUGCUGCUCCUCUACAAGCCUGUUUGCCAGGAUGUUCUGUGCGUUACUUGUGGUUUGUCGUUUGUUUCUACUUGUCCUGUCUGCGGUGAGUAUGAUGGCGGGUCGAUUGCAUUGUGAAGUCUCAGCAGCGAUCUCGGCGUUGGGGAGAGUGUCGCUUUUGCACAACAGUUGUGUCCGGCUGCUCUGGUUCUGGGGGGUCUACAGAAGGGGGGAGGAAUUGCUCCUGCGGCUCCGCUGCGGUCCCGGCUCCGGCUCCGGCUCCGGCUCCGGCUCCAGCGCUGCGCUGCCUUCCAGGGGAGCGCGGGUCCGAGGCACAGCGGCCGGCUCCACCUGUCUUGCUUGUCAGCUCUGUCCAACAUCCGGUUGUCGCUUACCGUCAUGGGAAGGCUAUAGAGUUCUAGGCUUCACUCUAGAUAGUGUACUGAUGCAAAUUGCAUCAAAGAGGGAAGUUCCCUUAUAUCCAGGCUUCUGGACCUCUCCGAUUUAUAGAGAACUCCAUGAUAUGGUCAGCUUGGAGAAGGGCUGCAGAUCCGAGCCCCAGUCCUGAUCUCUUCUGUGUGAUAAUGGUAUGGCAUCUCCUUCUUUUACAAUGAGCAGCUAGAAUCAUCAUUUGCCAUUAAUUAUAAAAAGAUGCAGCAUAUUGAGUACAUAUAAAUGAAUCGAACACUGUGUGCCAGUUCAACCUAGGCGCUUUAUGUCAACAGCAAGGUCUAAUAGUGUGACUGCUAUGAUCUACUAGAUCACUAAUGAACAGCUUUGCUGAGCUAAGAAGACAGGGAGCAGACAUGAGGGGCAAUUUAGGGAAGAGCAAUGGAUCCACAAAUUUUUCGGUGUUGUGUACAGACAUAAUGGAGAUAUAAUUAAUUCAAACAUACAGUAGAAGUGGCAUGAUUGACCUGUAUGAUAACUGCCCUUCCGUAGGUUUGGGGGGUAUUUUAAUAAUCAGUGGUUCACAGACAUAUGGCAUAUGUCAUCCUUGCCAGCAAAUGCCUCUUCUACCUUUUUUUUUUUUUUUUUUAAUGAAACGUAUCCAAUUGUUUCAUGUUUCUGUGGGGAAAAGACUGGUCAAGGAAACAAUCAUGUUUUUGCGACAUUGAGGCAACUGCCAACAUAAUUUACAAGGGCGUUCUUCAGUUCCAUUCAUUAAUAGAUUUGUAAGACGCCUCACUUGGUUAUCUAUGUUGGGUAAAUUCAUUAUUAGAGCAUCUCAUAUUCCAUGCUUGGAUAACCUUGCUGAUUUUUGUCCCAGUUUGAAUUGCAGAAUUUCGCCAGCUGUGCCCGGAGGCAGCGCCAUCCAGCCUGACUUGCCCCCCAUUUUCUCAAACCGUGUUAGACAAACACAACCAUGCAAUCCUACAGGCUAUCUGCUGCUCAGUAUAUGCGAUCUGGCUUAGCUAAUCUACAUUAAAAUAACUCCUCAUUCAAUUCGCAUAGGAGCAGCAACAAUGCAGCAUCCGUAGCUCCUGUCUCGACGCUAAGGCUAUGGGUAAAUGUUCAUUAUCUGCUUACGAACAAUAUCUCCUGCCUGAGGCCAAGCAAUUCUUGAUGCUCAAAAAGCAAUGAGUGCCUUGUAAUUUCCGGCUUAAAUUCAUUAAUGUAUAGCAAAUUUCUGGGGAUAUCUCUAGUAUACUUAGCCAUGUACUUCAACUAGUGUCUGCUUAGACAAGGACAAGGACAAGGAGGUCCCAGAACAGAGCCAUACUGCCAAAUGUAAAAUUCUGCUUGGAAUAUAAGGUAUUUUGACAAAAGUGGUCCUGACUGAACUG